AUGGACGGCAGUGUGAGUUUCUAUCGGCCGUGGAAUCAGUACAAGAGAGGAUUUGGGAAAGUGGAGAGUGAAUACUGGCUGGGUUUCAGUGAUGGAGGAGCAAGUCGGACAUUUUCAGUCACAUAAAAAAACAUGCUCAGCUGAAUAAAUGUGCACCUGAUGUUCUCAAUGAUGCUUGUUCUCCCUGCAGGCGACUCUUUAUCUGGCCAUAAUGGAUACAAGUGCACCACUUUUGACAAAGACCAAGACAUCUAUGAUAGUAACUGUGCCAGACAUUUCCUUGGGGGAUUUUGGUACUCAAAUUGCCACAGUACAAACCCCAACGGUGUGUAUUUAUGGGGAGAAGAUGAUACUCAUUACGCCAUUGGAAAUGUUUGGUCAAGCUGGAAAAACAAUUACGUUGUUGGUAUGAAAUCCAUCAGCAUGAAGAUCAGACGCGUGUCUUAGAACUUUGAAGAAACAUUACAGUGUUUCUCAGAAACAAACAACAAAACAAUCAAAUUAAGGGUUUCUUUUUCCUCUGUUAACUGUGUAACUUAGUAAAUCAUUGUUUUGUGUAAUUUUCUUCUUCUUUGAUUAGGGUCACUUCUUUAAAUGUACAGCUGAAAUGAAUCAAUAAUAAACUUCAAUAAACUUCUGCAAUGAAAGAGCACAAAUUCCGAGUAUGGGACACCAUAGUCACAUCACGUCGUCAAAAGUCCGCGUUUCACAUCAAGUUUUGCAUCAUCCAGCAGUCUUUUGCUGACACAUAGUGGUGUAAUUCUCGUUUAGUAUACAACAGGACUCUGGUUAUUACCCUAUACCCAGCUAACAAAAAUUAUGUUCUAAUAGCGUUUUACUAACGUCCCCAUUAGGUUAUAAAACUUUAUUUCUGAAUGUUCUGAACAUCUGUUUUAUAAAAUGUUUUUUCUUGGUUAUGUGAACGUUAAGGGAACAUUGCAUUUCAUCAUUCUUCAAACAUUAUGGGAAUGUUGUUUUUGAAUUUUCUCUGAACGUUCUGAAACUUUAAAAAAACAUUAGACGAACAUCCAACUAAAACAUCUCAGGAGAAAAGGUUCCCUGAGCAUUGUACAAAUAAAGUUAUGUUUUGUGCUGACGUUUUGAGAAUAUUACUAAAGACUAUAUAAGUCUGAACAAACAUUCUAUUAAUGUUACUGGAGGAACAUUUGGUCAUAACUUUGAGAGAACCUCACCAGAACAAAGGUCCGAGGUCACACCAUCAUGUAUCAAUCUUCUAUUGGUCACACAGCUCCACAUAAUAUGAGUUCGCAGGUUAAGCCGCGGUCACACUUGACUUUGAGCACACAAAAUUUCUACGAACAUUGUAAAGGUCGUCACACUCUGCGGCAUCUUUUUUAUAAACAUGAAUUCAACAUAAAACAAAAAGUAAUACAUUCAAAAUGUAAAUAUAUACAAUCUACUCUACUGCAAAAAUAUGCUUUCUUUUAAUUCAGGCAAUGGGUAACGCUGUGAUGCAUCAAUCUUCUACUGGUCACACAUCAAACUUGGAAUGCAGUGGAAUGCGAAACUUUAUAUAUACACUGCUCACAAAAAUUAAAGGAACACUUUUUAAUCAGAGAAUAGCAUCAAGUCAGUUAAUCUCCUGGGAUAUUGAUCUGGUCAAGAGGGGGUUGUUAAUCAGUUUCAGCUGCUUUGGUGUUAAUGAAAUUAACAACAGGUGCACUAGAUGACCCCCAAAACAGGAAUGGUUUUACAGGUGGAGGCCUUUCUUUCUUACUUUGCAAUCUGUUACUUUUCUUAAAUGAGAUGGCGUCAAAGAUGUAUGCAGCCUUCAAAUGCAACCUCCGGAGGACGCAGCCUUCGAAAUGAGAUGUAGCUUCUGACACCAUGUAUUAUUAUGGAAAAUUAAGAUGACUGAG